UACGUAGGGGGGCGAGCGUUUGUCCGGAAUCAUUGGGCGUAAAGAGCUCGUAGGCGGUUCAGUAAGUCAGGUGUGAAAGCUCCGAGCUCAACUCGGAGAGGCCACCUGAUACUGCUGUGACUAGAAUCCAGUAGGGGGAGUGUGGAACUCCUGGUGUAGCGGUGAAAUGCGCAGAUAUCAGGGAGGGAACACCGGUGGGCGAAGGCGGUUCUCUGGGCAUGUCCUGACGGCUGAGGAGCGAAAAGUGUGGGGAGCGAACAGG
rnacentral:rRNA from 1 species